rnacentral:tRNA from 1 species
GCGGAAAUGGCGGAAUUGGUAGACGCACCAGAUUUAGGGGCUGGCGCCGCAAGGUGUGAGAGUUCAAGUCUCUCCUUCCGCACCA